AUACGUAGGGGGCGAGCGUUGUCCGGAAUGAUUGGGCGUAAAGGGCGCGUAGGCGGCUUUGCAAGUCAGUAGUGGAAGUCCAUUUUUCAAGGAUGGAAGUGCUACAGAAACUGCGGAGCUUGAGUGCAGGAGAGGUUAUCGGAAUUCCCGGUGUAGCGGUGAAAUGCGUAGAGAUCGGGAGGAACACCAGUGGCGAAGGCGGGUAACUGGACUGCAACUGACGCUGAGGCGCGAAAGUGUGGGGAGCAAACAGGAUUAGAUACCCUGGUAGUCCACACUGUAAACGAUGAAUGCUAGGUGUAGGAGGUAGCGACCCCUUCUGUGCCGCAGUAAACACAGUAAGCAUUCCGCCUGGGGAGUACGGUCGCAAGAUUAAAACUCAAAGGAAUUGACGGGG
rnacentral:rRNA from 1 species